GAGUUAAUGGCAAAUUGAUCAGCGCUUAUGAUGAUAGAUUUGUGCUGGAGCUAGCUGAGAGGGAGGAUGGUGUGGUUGUUUCUAAUGAUCAAUACCGAGACUUAAUGAAGGAGAAGGCAAGCUGGAGAAUCUUAGUGGAGGACAGGUUGCUGAUGUUCACCUUUGCUGGGGACAACUUCAUGAUCCCGGAGGAUCCCCUCGGUCAAGAUGGGCCUACUCUGGACCAGUUACUACACAAACCACACGCUGGAGCACA